rnacentral:rRNA from 1 species
AUGCAAGUCGAACGAUGAUCCCAGCUUGCUGGGGGAUUAGUGGCGAACGGGUGAGUAACACGUGAGUAACCUGCCCUUGACUCUGGGAUAAGCCUGGGAAACUGGGUCUAAUACCGGAUAUGACCGUCUGACGCAUGUCAGGUGGUGGAAAGCUUUUGUGGUUUUGGAUGGACUCGCGGCCUAUCAGCUUGUUGGUGGGGUAAUGGCCUACCAAGGCGACGACGGGUAGCCGGCCUGAGAGGGUGACCGGCCACACUGGGACUGAGACACGGCCCAGACUCCUACGGGAGGCAGCAGUGGGGAAUAUUGCACAAUGGGCGCAAGCCUGAUGCAGCGACGCCGCGUGAGGGAUGACGGCCUUCGGGUUGUAAACCUCUUUCAGUAGGGAAGAAGCGAAAGUGACGGUACCUGCAGAAGAAGCGCCGGCUAACUACGUGCCAGCAGCCGCGGUAAUACGUAGGGCGCAAGCGUUAUCCGGAAUUAUUGGGCGUAAAGAGCUCGUAGGCGGUUUGUCGCGUCUGCUGUGAAAGACCGGGGCUCAACUCCGGUUCUGCAGUGGGUACGGGCAGACUAGAGUGCAGUAGGGGAGACUGGAAUUCCUGGUGUAGCGGUGAAAUGCGCAGAUAUCAGGAGGAACACCGAUGGCGAAGGCAGGUCUCUGGGCUGUAACUGACGCUGAGGAGCGAAAGCAUGGGGAGCGAACAGGAUUAGAUACCCUGGUAGUCCAUGCCGUAAACGUUGGGCACUAGGUGUGGGGGACAUUCCACGUUUUCCGCGCCGUAGCUAACGCAUUAAGUGCCCCGCCUGGGGAGUACGGCCGCAAGGCUAAAACUCAAAGGAAUUGACGGGGGCCCGCACAAGCGGCGGAGCAUGCGGAUUAAUUCGAUGCAACGCGAAGAACCUUACCAAGGCUUGACAUGAACCGGUAAUACCUGGAAACAGGUGCCCCGCUUGCGGUCGGUUUAC